UACGUAGGGUGCAAGCGUUGUCCGGAAUUAUUGGGCGUAAAGAGCUCGUAGGCGGUCUGUCGCGUCUGCUGUGAAAACUCAGGGCUUAACCCUGAGCUUGCAGUGGGUACGGGCAGACUAGAGUGCGGUAGGGGAGACUGGAAUUCCUGGUGUAGCGGUGAAAUGCGCAGAUAUCAGGAGGAACACCGGUGGCGAAGGCGGGUCUCUGGGCCGUAACUGGACGCUG
rnacentral:rRNA from 1 species